CCUCGCCCGGCCGCGGAACCGGCAGACGAUUUUGCGGAGGAGGCAGCCGAUCGAACGUUCUGGUCAGCGGAAGGUGGGAUUGUGUGAGGAUUUAGUCGGGUUUUGCAUCUUCGCUAGGUCCGUUGCCGGGGCUUGUUUUACUCCGAGUUUGGGUUCUUGAAGCUUUGGGUGGUCUUUCUAUCUAAAGUAUUGGACAUGCAAGACAGAUGAAUAAAAGAAAGCAUACAUGCAGUGGUCAGCAGAUUAGUCUACUUCAAGAAAGUGAUAAAGAAAAGGGUGAAGAAGAAAAGAGGUGGACAACGAGAUUGUCAUUAAGUAAGAAAGCGGUAUGAGACUCAAUAGAGUGGACAAUGUGCACUGGACCUGCUAUUCAUAUUCAGAGUGGAAUUUUUAUGACGCAUUUCCUUUGCUUACUAAGUCAAAUGCGUAGUCCUGUGGUGCAGUAAAAGCAAGUCAGAUGAAACGAAGUUUUAUGAGUACAUCUAUCAGAAAGGAAUCACACUAGAAAUUAUCAGAAUUUGAUUGGAAGAUAUGUUGGAUUCAAAUUAAAAACAAUAGAUUUCGACUUAUGGAUUUUUGCACCUUAUAAACUAAUGGAUUUUAAUUUUAUACUGAUAAAAAUAAGAAAGAAAAAUGUGUAAACAAAGACUUUUCAAGUAAAAUUGAGAAAAAUGGUUGAUAGGAUCUACUAACUAGAUUUAAGAUAAAACUAUGAAAUUGUGUACUGUGAAAAAUAUUCAUUCUUUCCUGAAUGAAAGGCUCUUAGUAA
rnacentral:misc_RNA from 1 species